CAAACCGACACAGGUAGUCAAGAUGAGAAUUCUAAGGUGAGCGAGCGAACUCUCGUUAAGGAACUCGGCAAAAUGACCCCGUAACUUCGGGAGAAGGGGUGCUCUUUAGGGUUAACGCCCAGAAGAGCCGCAGUGAAUAGGCCCAAGCGACUGUUUAUCAAAAACACAGGUCUCUGCUAAACCGUAAGGUGAUGUAUAGGGGCUGACGCCUGCCCGGUGCUGGAAGGUUAAGAGGAGUGGUUAGCUUCUGCGAAGCUACGAAUCGAAGCCCCAGUAAACGGCGGCCGUAACUAUAACGGUCCUAAGGUAGCGAAAUUCCUUGUCGGGUAAGUUCCGACCCGCACGAAAGGCGUAACGAUUUGGGCACUGUCUCAACGAGAGACUCGGUGAAAUCAUAGUACCUGUGAAGAUGCAGGUUACCC
rnacentral:rRNA from 1 species